AGCGAACGCUGGCGGCAGGCUUAACACAUGCAAGUCGAGCGGGCGCAGCAAUGCGUCAGCGGCAGACGGGUGAGUAACGCGUGGGAACGUACCUUUUGGUUCGGAACAACACAGGGAAACUUGUGCUAAUACCGGAUAAGCCCUUACGGGGAAAGAUUUAUCGCCGAAAGAUCGGCCCGCGUCUGAUUAGCUAGUUGGUAGGGUAAUGGCCUACCAAGGCGACGAUCAGUAGCNGGUCUGAGAGGAUGAUCAGCCACAUUGGGACUGAGACACGGCCCAAACUCCUACGGGAGGCAGCAGUGGGGAAUAUUGGACAAUGGGCGCAAGCCUGAUCCAGCAAUGCCGCGUGAGUGAUGAAGGCCUUAGGGUUGUAAAGCUCUUUUACCCGGGAUGAUAAUGACAGUACCGGGAGAAUAAGCUCCGGCUAACUCCGUGCCAGCAGCCGCGGU
rnacentral:rRNA from 1 species